GACAAUGCAAUGCAACUAUUUUGUAGAGUCUGUGUUGAGAAAUGAAGGACGAAGAAUACUUGAUUGGGCAAAGAAAAAGAAGAAGACAAUCGUAUUAAUGCCUCCAACUCUGUAAGAAUACUCUGGAAUAAAGAACCACUUAGGAAAAGCAGAAAAAUAACCCUGUAUCUUUUUUUAGAAGUCAUAUACUGAGGGCAAUAGCAAACAACUCUUUUGAAAUGACAAAGAAUCUGUAGUCCAUGGGUUUAUAAAUUGCUUGCAUUGGAAGACAUCUUAAAAGGAUCGUCACACAAACAUAUUACAAAGCAAACCAGACAGUUCCCGGUUUUUAUUCUCUCUCUGGGAAUUUUAUGAGGCUCGUGGUUAUCCUUUCUUUCCUUCUUAAAUUCUAGCCUC